rnacentral:lncRNA from 1 species
UAAUGAUACCUGACUGUAAGAGUAUGGUGCUCUCCUUUGUAGGUGGGAAAUGAAGAAAGCAGAGGGCAAGGCUGAGGCACGGUCAACCCAAAUUCCAGAGACCAGGCAAAUUGUUUCUGCUCUCAGAUUUGAAGAUCCCUCCCAAGGAAGAAAAGAACUGCAUAAGCUAGAAGAGGCAGUAUCAUUCAGUGAGGUACUUCAUGGCUCAGUGGGGAGGCAUGCUGACUUGCAGCAGUGGAAGUGCUAACACGUCCUGGGGAUGGUGUCAUAGAGCAGCCGGCACGUGCAGAGUGUCAGCCGCUGUGUUCCUGCGUGCACGUGUGGGACUCCAUCACCACCCCCGGCGC